UGGGGAAUUUUGGACAAUGGGGGAAACCCUGAUCCAGCCAUCCCGCGUGUGCGAUGAAGGCCUUCGGGUUGUAAAGCACUUUUGGCAGGAAAGAAACGUCGCGGGUUAAUACCCCGCGAAACUGACGGUACCUGCAGAAUAAGCACCGGCUAACUACGUGCCAGCAGCCGCGGUAAUACGUAGGGUGCAAGCGUUAAUCGGAAUUACUGGGCGUAAAGCGUGCGCAGGCGGUUCGGAAAGAAAGAUGUGAAAUCCCAGAGCUUAACUUUGGAACUGCAUUUUUAACUACCGGGCUAGAGUGUGUCAGAGGGAGGUGGAAUUCCGCGUGUAGCAGUGAAAUGCGUAGAUAUGCGGAGGAACACCGAUGGCGAAGGCAGCCUCCUGGGAUAACACUGACGCUCAUGCACGAAAGCGUGGGGAGCAAACAGGAUUAGAUACCCUGGUAGUCCACGCCCUAAACGAUGUCAACUAGCUGUUGGGGGCCUUCGGGCCUUGGUAGCGCAGCUAACGCGUGAAGUUGACCGCCUGGGGGAGUACGGUCGCAAGAUUAAAACUCAAAUGAAUUGACGGGGGUCAUAGCUGUUUUCCU
rnacentral:rRNA from 1 species